AUUAAGUUAAGUUAAAUUUAAACUGUUAGGUUGUGGGGCUAAAAAUAAAUCAUGUUUACUUAAUA
rnacentral:tRNA from 1 species